rnacentral:rRNA from 1 species
GACGAACGCUGGCGGCGUGCUUAACACAUGCAAGUCGAACGGAAAGGCCCUGCUUUUGUGGGGUGCUCGAGUGGCGAACGGGUGAGUAACACGUGAGUAACCUGCCCUUGACUUUGGGAUAACUUCAGGAAACUGGGGCUAAUACCGGAUAGGAGCUCCUGCUGCAUGGUGGGGGUUGGAAAGUUUCGGCGGUUGGGGAUGGACGCGCGGCUUAUCAGCUUGUUGGUGGGGUAGUGGCUUACCAAGGCUUUGACGGGUAGCCGGCCUGGGAGGGUGACCGGCCACAUUGGGACUGAGAUACGGCGCAGACUGCUACGGGAGGCAGCAGGGGGGAAUAUUGCACAAUGGGCGGGAGCCUGAUGCAGCAACGCCGCGUGCGGGAUGACGGCCUUCUGGUUGUAAACCGCUUUCGCCUGUGACGAAGCGUGAGUGACGGUAAUGGGUAAAGAAGCACCGGCUAACUACGUG